rnacentral:lncRNA from 1 species
GAUGGAGCAGGCCACCCCUCUAACAUAAGCCAGCCACCCUGAGUUCUGACUAGUGUGACCUUGCAAAGUAGGGGACCUGAGAAAGUUGGAGCCAUUAGGGACCAUGGAGGACCCCUGGGCAGGCCUUUGGGUACAGACACUGAGACAUCCACACUUAGGUGUUUGUUUGAGAAAGCACAGCCAUCCGCUAUCUCUGAGGGCUGCAGAGGCCUGUGGGUGGCCACUGGGAUGGCGGUUCUUGUCAAACAUUCUGUGUCUUGUCCCACAGAAGGUUAUGAGAACCUUCUCAGCCCCUCUGACAUGACCCACAUCAAGAGUGACACCCUGGCCAGCAAGCACAGUGAACUGAAGGACAGACUGCGUAGUAUCAACCAGGGCCUAGACCGCCUGAGGAAGGUCAGCCACCAGGGCUACGGCCCCGCCACUGAGUUUGAAGAGCCCCGAGUGAUAGAUCUGUGGGACCUGGCUCAGUCUGCCAACUUCACCGAGAAGGAACUGGAGUCGUUCAGGG